GCCACAUUUUAUUUUGUGUGUAGGCCUAGUGUGUACAUGGAUAUUUGCAUAAUGUAUGCAUACAGAGCAGGCUCUAUUUCUUUCAACCAUCUCCAGGUGUAUGUAGACAAUUUGCGGUGAUGGGGUGCCUCGAGUGUUGACUGGCGUUUAACUGUUCUGAUGGUAGCGCAUUUGGGAUAUUGUAAUCUAUCGAGAAAUACGAGUUAGCAGCCACCAGAAUCACACCUUGAAAGUUUUAUAGUUGCCUGCGAAAGACUUGCCUUUCUGGCUCGGUGGAACAGCGUUUAUCAGUCCUCUGCGCACCCCCAAGUCUUAUUUGCUGUGGAUGGACCCCCAUCUAGCGGACAACAUGAGUACUGCACAAGCGGACGUGAAAGAAGACUGUUAAAAAAAUCAAAGAUGGCGACUUGAUUGUAGCACAAAUGUCUUUAGUUCAUAACCCUCUUGUUGGUAAGAGUUUCUGCUGUUUACAUAUGUGAAAGAGUUCAAGACACACACACUAAGCCUGACCUGUCAUAGCUCUAUGUAAAAGCUGCCUCUAGAUAAAGAUUUAAGAUAAGUUUAGUUUCUACUAGCCUAGCAAAUAGAGUUAUGGGGGAAGGGAGGGGGGUAUAUAAAAGCCUGGUUUUUGUCUAACGACACCAAUCACAGGCCCAGCACAGCCCACUACUCUACAUAACCCCCAGCCUGCUCUCCGGCUCGGUAAAAGGCAACUGUUAGAAUCUUUUAGAUAGUACCUCCAAAAGUGCUGUGUGUGUAUAGCGGAUGAUUGACUUGUGUUUUAAGUAAUUGUGAGUAUCAGGGUGCUUCCAGAGAUGAACUGUCAAUGAGACUGCUAGUCUGGUCCUGUAGGUAGAGUCUGUAAAAAUGGACUAUUUGUGCUUGGAAUGAUAGAGAAGAUUAGGAUGACAUGGGGUGUGUGGAGAAAGCAGGCACUCCUGUGGAUGUUUGGUACCCUCUAGUGGUCAUGUUGGGUAAGUGCAACAGGACAGCUGAACUAAACCCAGACCAAUUUAGACAGUAAAUCACUGAUACCCAGACUAAACAACACCAAGGAGGCCGUGAGUUAAUACAUUUGUGACUCCCAUCGGCUCUAACGUGUACCGGAUCGAGUCCCCGAUACACUCCUCUCCUUGGGUGGAGAUCAAAUGCAAGGGCAUUCUCCAGGCAAUUCGAUAGAUAUUUCCCCAGUCAUGCCACCGUGCAUAGUGGGUUCCCUGGCUGCUCAAACAUGAAUCCUCUCUUGGACGUUAUAUGCGAGAGUGGUGUAUCUGAGAGAAUGCGUUGUUAUAAUAUUGUAGUAGCCUAAUUACGAGUGCAACUUAGAAAUAACACAAACAGGCUAUGAACAACAUACCUUAGACUGUUCUCGUCUGUUUUUUACGAGGAAUGAGUUGGGCUUUAGUUGUCUGUUCCCCUCUUUUCCUAUUCGACCAAUAUGUAACUGGAGGUCAAACCACACUUUCUGGACCAGACCCCUUGGUGUACUGGGAUUCAGAGCUUGGAAGUUUUGGAGCUGGGCCAUGUCCUUAUCAGUGAUGGGAGGGUGGCUGUUUGUGAUAUUUUCCUUGAAUUAGCUGUUUGAUGUUGGCCAUAAAUGCAUGAAUCGUGGUGGUAAAUUUAGUGUCCUUCAUAAGACACCAGCUGUGACCGAUGGGUGGGUCAUUUAGAAACUGGUAGUGCCAGAUAACUACUUAUGCUGUACUGCUCCCCCUUCACGUUUCCUAAAUUUCCAUAAAACUGUCGGAGAAACUAAUUAAACUUCCUUAGUGACAGUUUAAGUAAACUUUUUUAUUCUCUGUUAGCCAGCCCUCGAAGCAACGCACAGCCUAGUUUGUAUUCUUAACUGUUUUUAUUCGUUGCGGCUUUUCUCUCAAUGCAGUA